rnacentral:rRNA from 1 species
UUGUCUCAAAGAUUAAGCCAUGCAUGUCUCAGUACAAGCCAAAUUAAGGUGAAACCGCGAAAGGCUCAUUAAAUCAGUUAUGGUUCCUUAGAUCGUACCCACAUUUACUUGGAUAACUGUGGUAAUUCUAGAGCUAAUACAUGCAAACAGAGCUCCGACCGGAGACGGAAGGAGCGCUUUUAUUAGAUCAAAACCAAUCGGUGGCGUUUACGUCAUCGUACAACUUGGUGACUCUGAAUAACUUUACGCUGAUCGCACGGUCUUGCACCGGCGACGCAUCUUUCAAAUGUCUGCCUUAUCAACUGUCGAUGGUAGGUUCUGCGCCUACCAUGGUUGUAACGGGUAACGGGGAAUCAGGGUUCGAUUCCGGAGAGGGAGCCUGAGAAACGGCUACCACAUCCAAGGAAGGCAGCAGGCGCGCAAAUUACCCACUCCCGGCACGGGGAGGUAGUGACGAAAAAUAACGAUACGGGACUCAUCCGAGGCCCCGUAAUCGGAAUGAGUACACUCUAAACCCUUUAACGAGGAUCAAUUGGAGGGCAAGUCUGGUGCCAGCAGCCGCGGUAAUUCCAGCUCCAAUAGCGUAUAUUAAAGUUGUUGCGGUUAAAAAGCUCGUAGUCGAAUCUGUGUCCCGCGCCGCCGGUUCAUCGUUCGCGGUGUUAACUGGCGUGCCGCGGGACGUCCUGCCGGUGGGCUUAGCUCGCGAGGGCGGCCCAACUCAAUCCCGCCGCGGUGCUCUUCAUUGAGUGUCGAGGUGGGCCGGCACGUUUACUUUGAACAAAUUAGAGUGCUUAAAGCAGGCUAAAACUUCGCCUGAAUACUGUGUGCAUGGAAUAAUGGAAUAGGACCUCGGUUCUAUUUUGUUGGUUUUCGGAACCCCGAGGUAAUGAUUAAUAGGAACGGAUGGGGGCAUUCGUAUUGCGACGUUAGAGGUGAAAUUCUUGGAUCGUCGCAGACGG